UGGGGAAUUUUGGACAAUGGGCGAAAGCCUGAUCCAGCCAUGCCGCGUGAGUGAAGAAGGCCUUCGGGUUGUAAAGCUCUUUUAGUCGGAAAGAAAAGAUCGUAAAUAAUACUUGCGAUUAAUGACGGUACCGACAGAAAAAGCACCGGCUAACUACGUGCCAGCAGCCGCGGUAAUACGUAGGGUGCGAGCGUUAAUCGGAAUUACUGGGCGUAAAGGGUGCGCAGGCGGUUUUGUAAGUCAGAUGUGAAAUCCCCGGGCUUAACCUGGGAA
rnacentral:rRNA from 1 species